rnacentral:rRNA from 1 species
GACGAACGCUGGCGGCGUGCCUAAUACAUGCAAGUCGAACGCAGUGGGGACGGGUGAGUAACACGUGGGUAACCUCCCAUCAGAGGAGAUAACACUUGGAAACAGGUGCUAAACCGAUACUGAUGGAUGGACCCGCGGUGCAUUAGCUAGUUGGUGAGGGAACGGCUCACCAAGGCCACGAGGCAUAGCCGACCUGAGAGUGUAAUCGGCCACAGUGGGACUGCGACCCGGCCCAGACUCCUACGGGAGGCAGCAGUAGGGAAUCUUCGGCAAUGGACGAAAGUCUGACCGAGCAACUCCGCGUGAGUGAAGAAGGUUGUCGGAUCGUAAAACUCUGUUGUUAGAUAAGCGGUAUCUAACCAGAAAGCCACGGCUAACUACGUGCCAGCAGCCGCGGUAAUUC